AGCCUCGUGGUCUAAUGGUACGACACCAUGCAUUCUACGAAACACCGAAAGCUGGAGAAUGCGAGUUCGAUUCACGCCGGGGCAA